CGCUAGAAAUAGAUCACAUCUUGUGUCUAUUAAUAGACACAAGAUGUGAUCUAUUUCUAGCGC
rnacentral:pre_miRNA from 1 species